rnacentral:rRNA from 1 species
AUACAGAGGGUGCAAGCGUUAAUCGGAUUUACUGGGCGUAAAGCGCGCGUAGGUGGCUAAUUAAGUCAAAUGUGAAAUCCCCGAGCUUAACUUGGGAAUUGCAUUCGAUACUGGUUAGCUAGAGUAUGGGAGAGGAUGGUAGAAUUCCAGGUGUAGCGGUGAAAUGCGUAGAGAUCUGGAGGAAUACCGAUGGCGAAGGCAGCCAGCUGGCCUAAUACUGACACUGAGGUGCGAAAGCAUGGGGAGCAAACAGGGUUAGAUACCCUGGUAGUCCAGGCCGUAAACGAUGUCUACUAGCCGUUGGGGCCCUUGAGGCUUUAGUGGCGCAGCUAACGCGAUAAGUAGACCGCCUGGGGAGUACGGUCGCAAGACUAAAACUCAAAUGAAUUGACGGGG